rnacentral:rRNA from 1 species
GAUUAACGCUGGCGGCGUGCAUAACACAUGCAAGUCGAACGAUGAAACUUUAAUGAACCCUUCGGGGAGAAUUAAAGCGGAUUAGUGGCGAACGGGUGAGUAACGCGUGAGUAACCUGCCUUACACAAGGGGAUAGCCUUUGGAAACGAAGAAUAAUACCCUAUAAAACCAUAAAAGCACAUGCAAUUAUGGUCAAAGUGAUAGCGGUGUAAGAUGGACUUGCGUCUGAUUAGCUAGUUGGUGAGAUAAAAACCCACCAAGGCAACGAUCAGUAGCCGGCUUGAGAGAGUGUACGGCCACAUUGGGACUGAGACACGGCCCAGACUCCUACGGGAGGCAGCAGUGGGGAAUUUUGCACAAUGGGGGAAACCCUGAUGCAGCGACGCCGCGUGAUUUAGAAGGCCUUCGGGUUGUAAAAAUCUUUUGUAUAGGAAGAAAAUGACAGUACUAUACGAAUAAGGUCCGGCUAAUUACGUG